ACCUGGCUGCUUCCACACUGGACCACGAGGCUUGUAACACAAUAUUCAGAAAAACUGUAUACAAAUCUUGUAGGAUUUUCUCUUUAGCUUGAAAGCUCUGAAAUUUGGCAAUUAUAUAUCUGGGAGUAGUUUUUUUUUUGGGGGGGGUUAGUGUAGAGUGUUUUCUAUGAACUCUUUCAAUGUCUAUUUUCCUCCCUUGUUCUAGAACUUCAGGGUAGUUUUCUUGGAUGAUCUCUUGGAGUAUGGUGUCAAGAUUUCUGCUUAUUUCUUGCUUUUCAGUUUCUGUCCUUUCCUUGGGACCAUCAGAGAAGUUUACAUAUUUUAUAUCAAAUUUUAUAUCAAAUCAUUGGGCCACUCUCUCUCACACAUGUUUGAGUUAUGGGAAGAAGUUAAGAAGCUAUGAUGGCCAAAAGAAUGAGAAAGAAGCACUAUGAAGUCAUGAAGGAGGAGGAAAAGAAUGACUGUCUUGGAAAUCUCUUUUGGACAGUUAGUAUGCAUAGAAAUAAGAGUCUGAGCCUGGGACAACCAAGAAGGAGACCUUGGAUCUCAUCUGGACUCUGUCCUUGCCUUGCUGGAAGAUCUUGGAAUAGUUCACUUCUUGGUUCCAUGGAAUCUCAGAGAUGGAAUAGAACACAAAGUUCAACUAGGAUCAUCAUUAAUUUAUACCUCAGUGGGAUAGUUCCUACUGGAACCAGUAACUGGCUAUCUGGUCUUCACCUGAAUAAUUUUGUAACUGUUUUUGUGUUCACAAUUGUUUAUAAAUGGCUCUUGUCAAUCAAUCCUAAGAUGUGAGAAUUGGAAAGGAUUUUAAGAAGGAUAUGUUUAAAUGAUUAUUAGAAGUAUGGACUUGAUCAACUUUCUACUUUGAUGAAAAUUCCUUGGUAGUUCCCCAUUGCUUAUUGAGUCAAGCACAAAAUCUGAUCAAUAAAG
rnacentral:lncRNA from 1 species